CCUGUUGGGAGAAAGGUUGGAGGAUGAUGAAUGGGUGGAGCCUAUCUGCCCCUCACCCAGGGUUUGGCCUCCACUGGGGCUGAAGGCACACUGGGAUCAGACAAUGGAGGCAAGAUGCCCACUCUGGAGCCAAGUCAAGUCACAGCAAGGUUUCCUCCUAGGCUAGGGUCAAGAGCUCCUGUCAAAGUCUGGGUCAGACACUCUUUGGGCUGCGGAUCAGUUCUACUGGGGGCAUGUUGGCAGGCACAACUCAUCAACUCUGUGGCAUGAAACCCUCGUCACUGUGGGUGAUCCAACAUGCUGGGAUCCCAGGAACUAGGGUGAUGGAUGAUUCCCUGCUGGUUUGUGGGGAGAGGGAGAGCCCUGACAAUAGCAGCCCUCACCACCGCACUUGCUGGGCCUCUGGGGGCAGUGCCUGUUGCAGGAGGGUUUUCCCCAAGAGGUCCAGGUCGUCCAGGCCGCUGCUUGUUGGUGGGGGUGCCUGUGCCGGAGGUCGGCAGUCCAUGCUGGGGGCCUGGGCUGGAGGAGGGACUGAGGGCUCCAUGCCAUCUGAUGACUGGAGGAGAAGGAGACAGGGUAAGAACCUCUCAAGUGUCCCAGUUACCACCCGGGCACUGAUGCCCUCCCCUCCCUGCAGGUGACAGAUGAGAAAGCUGCAGCAGAGAGGACAACAGACCACUGGGCCUGGCUAGAGCUCCACCCUGUGGAACCCCCACAGUGUGACCCCGAGUCACCUUUAAGGGAAGAAGAGCCCCCAGCUUAACCUUGAAGGCUGGGCUGUGGUCUUGUCAGGGACCAGAGACUGAUCUCUGCUGGAAGUUAGAAGAGACUGCUGGGCUCUUCCCUAGGGUGGAACUGCCCUGCCCCAGGGAGCCUUGCGUGGUACCCACCUGGCUGUUUGUCACCCCUCAGGCUACUGGCUCCAGCCCUCUACCCCUGGGUGUGUCACAGGCUGAGCCAGCUUCAGCAUUCUUACCUGGAAGCUGUUCCAUCCCACACUAUCUGAGCUGGGGCCUGAAGGUGGAGUGGGAUCACUUAGGCCUGCAGAGAAAGCAAGACAGGGGGUUGGACUGGUGAGCUAAAGACUAACAAUGUCUGAUCCCUCCCUUUCUUAGAGGCUCAGGAGUAAAACCCACGCUUUCAGAGGGAAC